rnacentral:rRNA from 1 species
AGGGAAAAAAAAAACAACAGGGAUUGCCCCAGUAACGGCGAGUGAAGCGGCAACAGCUCAAAUUUGAAAUCUGGCCCCCGGGUCCGAGUUGUAAUUUGCAGAGGAUGCUUCGGGCGAGGUGCCUUCCGAGUUCCCUGGAACGGGACGCCAUAGAGGGUGAGAGCCCCGUCUGGUCGGACACCGAGCCCGUGUGAAGCUCCUUCGAAGAGUCGAGUAGUUUGGGAAUGCUGCUCAAAAUGGGAGGUAUAUGUCUUCUAAAGCUAAAUAUUGGCCAGAGACCGAUAGCGCACAAGUAGAGUGAUCGAAAGAUGAAAAGCACUUUGAAAAGAGGGUUAAAAAGUACGUGAAAUUGUUGAAAGGGAAGCGCCCAUGACCAGACUUGGGCCCGGUGAAUCACCCGGCGUUCUCGCCGGUGCACUUUGCCGGGCACAGGCCAGCAUCAGUUUGGCGCGGGGGAUAAAGGCUUCGGGAAUGUGGCUCCCUCGGGAGUGUUAUAGCCCGUUGCGCAAUACCCUGCGCCGGACUGAGGUACGCGCAUCGCAAGGAUGCUGGCGUAAUGGUCAUCAGCGACCCGUCUUGAAACACGGACCAAGGAGUCGUCUUCGUAUGCGAGUGUUCGGGUGUCAAACCCCUACGCGGAAUGAAAGUGAACGCAGGUGAGAGCUUCGGCGCAUCAUCGACCGAUCCUGAUGUUCUCGGAUGGAUUUGAGUAAGAGCAUACGGGGCCGGACCCGAAGAAGGUGAACUAUGCCUGUAUAGGGUGAAGCCAGAGGAAACUCUGGUGGAAGCUCGCAGCGGUUCUGACGUGCGAAUCGAUCGUCAAAUAUGGGCAUGGGGGCGAAAGACUAAUCGAACCUUCUAGUAGCUGGUUUCCGCCGAGUUCUCCCCUCAGGGA